UCAUCUCUAGUUUAUUUUGAGAAUGUUAACUUGUCGUGUUAUUGGUGUGUCUUUGUGUGCGAGGUG
rnacentral:tRNA from 1 species